CCAGACUCCUACGGGAGGCAGCAGUGAGGAAUAUUGGUCAAUGGUCGGGAGACUGAACCAGCCAAGCCGCGUGAGGGAGGAAGGUACAGAGUAUCGUAAACCUCUUUUGUCAGGGAACAAAGGCGGGGACGUGUCCCCGGAUGAGUGUACCUGAAGAAAAAGCAUCGGCUAACUCCGUGCCAGCAGCCGCGGUAAUACGGAGGAUGCGAGCGUUAUCCGGAUUUAUUGGGUUUAAAGGGUGCGCAGGCGGUCUGUUAAGUCAGCGGUCAAAGCCCGGGGCUCAACCCCGUCCGGCCGUUGAAACUGGGGGCCUUGAGUGGGCGAGAAGAAGGCGGAAUGCGUGGUGUAGCGGUGAAAUGCAUAGAUAUCACGCAGAACCCCGAUUGCGAAGGCAGCCUUCCGGCGCCCUACUGACGCUGAGGCACGAAAGCGUGGGUAUCGAACAGGAUUAGAUACCCCUGUA
rnacentral:rRNA from 1 species